rnacentral:rRNA from 1 species
UGGGGAAUAUUGCACAAUGGAGGGAACUCUGAUGCAGCGACGCCGCGUGAGUGAUGAAGGAAUUCGUUUCGUAAAACUCUGUUCUAUGGGAAGAAAAGGACUGUACCAAAGGAGAAAGCUCCGGCUAAAUACGUGCCAGCAGCCGCGGUAAUACGUAUGGAGCGAGCGUUGUCCGGAAUUAUUGGGCGUAAAGGGUGCGCAGGCGGCUUUACAAGUUGGAUGUGAAAUAUUGUGGCUCAACCACAAACGUGCAUCCAAAACUGCAAAGCUUGAGUUAAGGAGAGGUAAGUGGAAUUCCUGGUGUAGCGGUGGAAUGCGUAGAUAUCAGGAGGAAUACCGGUGGCGAAGGCGACUUACUGGACUUAAACUGACGCUCAGGCACGAAAGCGUGGGGAGCAAACAGG